GGGGAUAUAGCUCAGUUGUAGAGCACUUGUUUAGCAUGCAUGAGGCCCUGGAUUCAAUCCCCAAUACCAUCA
rnacentral:tRNA from 1 species